rnacentral:rRNA from 1 species
UACGAAGGGUGCUAGCGUUGUUCGGAAUCACUGGGCGUAAAGCGCGCGUAGGUGGCUAUGCAAGUCAGAGGUGAAAUCCCCAGGCUCAACCUGGGAACUGCCUUUGAAACUGCAAAGCUUGAGUGUUGGAGGGGAUAGCGGAAUUGCUAAUGUAGAGGUGAAAUUCGUAGAUAUUAGCAGGAACACCGGUGGCGAAGGCGGCUAUCUGGACAACAACUGACACUGAGGCGCGAAAGCGUGGGGAUCAAACAGG